CUACGGGCGGCUGCAGUGAGGAAUAUUGCACAAUGGGGGAAACCCUGAUGCAGCAACGCCGCGUGGAGGAUGACGCAUUUCGGUGUGUAAACUCCUUUUAUGAGUCAAGAAAAUGACGGUAGCUCAUGAAUAAGCACCGGCUAACUCCGUGCCAGCAGCCGCGGUAAUACGGAGGGUGCAAGCGUUACUCGGAAUCACUGGGCGUAAAGGACGCGUAGGCGGGAUGUCAAGUCAGGUGUGAAAUCCUAUGGCUCAACCAUAGAACUGCACUUGAAACUGGCAACCUAGAGUAUGGGAGGGGGAGAUGGAAUUAGUGGUGUAGGGGUAAAAUCCGUAGAUAUCACUAGGAAUACCGAAAGCGAAGGCGAUCUCCUGGAACAUUACUGACGCUAAGGCGUGAAAGCGUGGGGAGCAAACAGGAUUAGAUACCCCAGUAGUC
rnacentral:rRNA from 1 species